rnacentral:lncRNA from 1 species
AAAGUUCAAAAUCAUUUUUCAUCGAACCUGGUAGCGUGCAUGAUCAUGGGGGGACUAUUCUUUCGAGCUUUGAAGUUUGGAUUCAACAAAACUGACGUCGUUCAGUUGUUCUUGACAAAGAACAAGGGAUCGACAUUAGUUUUGUUAGGUCAUUUGUCUCUAGUAGGUUUCGAGUCCUGAUUUGGUAAGUUCCCUUCCCCUCUUUUGUCUUUUCUUUCUUCUCCUUCCCUUUUCUUUGGUUUAAUUUUCUUCUACUAGUCUGGUUGAAACUCGACCAAUCCGCCGGGUUUAAACUAUCUUCUGUUCGUUGUUUUUUUUUCGUUUUCCUUUGUGAAAGUUUGUUCUCUGUUUCUUUAGUUGUGUUAUCAGCCCAUUUAAAGUUUUGAUUUCAUAUCUCAUUUAGUCACCUAGUUAAUUUAAUUAGGGUUAUGUUAAUAACUUGGUUAAUUUCUUGCUUAUUUGUAAUCAGUUGAUUAGUGUAGGUUUAAUUCUCGAAAUCAUUCAAGUGUUUGCCCUUUGUUUGUUGACUAAUUUGAUUUAGUUUAUCUUGUUGUUUGGGCUUUGAAGCCAUUGCAAACCUCACCCCAAAGGGGUUGAUUUAGGUCAUUGAGUCAGAAUUGAGCCCAAAUUUUGGUUUAAUUAUUGGGUCAAUUUAACCCAUUUGGGUUCCUAGAGUAAAAAACAGGGGCGUGAGGGGUAGUUUAGGAAAUUGGCCUAGGGAAUCUUUUGUAACUGAUUGAGGGAAGCUUCCUGGAAGCUGGGGUGGGGACUAAUGUGAAAAUCUGAUUUUUGGCUACGGGUUUUAAAGCUAAAACAAAAAUUAGAAAGGGGGCAAAGUGCAAGCUAAGUCUGCCCUAGUAGCUUGCCUAUAAAGGCAUCCUAAACUUGCCUUUCAAGGCAGACCCAAGAGAGAACAAAAAAGCUGAAAAAUUCUGAAACUACACUAAUUUCCACCAAUUUUCUUUGAUAAAACUGAUCAAAUCUUGUAUUAGCUAGAGGUCUCUGAUCUUCUUCAUUAGUUAAAAUCUCUGAAAAUUUUCACAUCUUGCACCUGGGUUGGGAAGUGGUUUGAUUUUGGGUUUAAAGUCAGGGUUUCAAGCUGCUGCAAGGACACUGUUGCAUUGAUACUGUUGUGCUUUUGUUCUACUGUUUACUGCCUAUCCUUCACUUCUUUUUCCUUUGCAAUUUCCAGGUAUGCCUUUGAGACUGUCAUGGAAUUGAAGCAUGACUGAAUUUGUGUAAAGAUCUGGAAACUUGAGUUGGAAUUUAAAUGAAAACACCAUCUCUUGUUGUAAUUACUGCUAGAUUUGGUUAUCUUAUGUUAGUAAAUUCCCCAGUUCUAUAAUAACUUAAUUUUCUUUGCAUGUGUUGGUUUGCUUGUUCAUGCUAUUGGUUUAAGGCUGUGUUGGCUAUUUAGAAUAGAGGUUUAAAUUCAGAAUGUCGGCAUUGUAAUAAGAAUUGAGAUCUAUCAUAUGAGUGGAUUGUCAGACAUGCUGUAAUAGAAGGUUAUUUGAGUGUGUUAAGUUAGUGUUCAUGUAGUUUGAGGUCUUACUUUGCAAUUUGGAAAGUUUUGCAGUAUUUUACAUAGUUAAAAACUGCCAUUUAAAUGGUCUGAGUGGGCUUAAAUUUCCUAUGUUUUGUUGUGAGAAUAAUUUAGAAAUUAAUUGCAAGUAUGAACCAUUGUUGUUUGUUAUCAAUGCAUGGGAUGUUAGAAAUGUUUGGUGAGCUGAUAGCUUGUUGAGGCCUUGG